GCCCCUCCUAUUUUUGUAAUGUGAGGGUUUAGCCAAUGGGUAGUGAUUUUGAAGGUAUAAAAGCGCAACGCAUCAGUCGUAGGUGUGCGUCAUUGAGGGGGGCCGUUACGUCAUCAGCGCGCCGCCGCUUGUUUGCUCGAGUGGAUUGUUCACAUCCGUGGUGAGUGUAUUGUUUGGCUUCGCAACACUUUAAAACGAGCUAUAUUGGGGAGCUAAUACUGAUUAUUUUCUAGUUGGUAGAGACUGUCGAAGCUGCUAACCACUGUACAAAAGUCUAUUUUGCUGCGUGAGGAACCAAAUGUGGACAAUUAAGACGGUAAGGAGAGCGUACCGGGUGCACAAUGACGUGUGUUUAUAACAUGUUUUGUAUUGCUAGUGCUCUUACGUGUCUGCUUUAUAUAUUUAAGGGGCAAUUUAGUCUCUGCUUAGCUGGUGCUGCGCUCUUUUGGGGGUGGGAUCACUAACUGAUUAACCUCCUGCGUCUCAGCAUUUCCGAUUGAUCUGGGCGCUGGGUGCAGACGAGUGGCUCUAUUGUGGUGGUGGUGUGUCCUUCACCGUGUGUUGUGCUUCUCACUGACACCAGUCUGUGUGUGUGUGCUAUGUUCACCUGAUUGUAGUGAUUAAUUUGGCAUAUGAGACUGCCCCAGUUGGUAAGACCCAGCUCCUUGCCCACAGCAGAAGUGUUUUACGAUGAGUGGCCAUAUUUUUAAUAUUUGUACAACUCAAUAAAAAUAUUUUUGUACCAUUUACUUCUGUCUCUGACUCCUGGCGAUUCGAACCUGUGCGUGCCUCUAGGGGGCACUGUUUGUUCUUUGGUUAAAAUCCCAAAGUGGCGUAGUCGGAAAUAAAUGUCAUAUUGACUGUUACGACAGUCGUUUAAUUGAGUUGUGUGCAUUUUGUGCACCCCGCUAAGGACCCCUCCUGCCACAUAGUGGCGUAGUCGGCAGGGCCGCCAGAUUGGGUCAGAGACAUUAGUUUGUUUGUUUGUAUGUUGUGUUUGUGUUGACUUUUUCAUUCCUUUUGGAAACAGAACAGCAGCGUGGUGCUGAUUGGUGACGAUUUCUCCGUGGUGGAUCUGGGCGCUGGGUGCAGACUAGUGGCUCUAUUGUGGUGGUGGUGUGUCCUUCACCGUGUGUUGUGCUUCUCACUGACACCAGUCUGUGUGUGUGUGCUAUGUUCACCUGAUUGUAGUGAUUAAUUUGGCAUAUGAGACUGCCCCAGUUGGUAAGACCCAGCUCCUUGCCCACAGCAGAAGUGUUUUACGAUGA